rnacentral:lncRNA from 1 species
CCCUUUGGACUUUUCCUCUAGGUUCCUCGCUAACCUGUUCUGUGAGCUCACUCUGCCCCCUCUCCUCCCCUUCACUCUCUCGAGGUUACCCAUUCACUUAAAACAUUGCUUCUGGU